AGUGAACGCUGGCGGUAGGCCUAACACAUGCAAGUCGAACGGCAGCACAGUAAGAGCUUGCUCUUACGGGUGGCGAGUGGCGGACGGGUGAGGAAUACAUCGGAAUCUACUUUUUCGUGGGGGAUAACGUAGGGAAGCUUACGCUAAUACCGCAUACGACCUACGGGUGAAAGCAGGGGAUCUUCGGACCUUGCGCGAUUGAAUGAGCCGAUGUCGGAUUAGCUAGUUGGCGGGGUAAAGGCCCACCAAGGCGACGAUCCGUAGCUGGUUUGAGAGGAUGAUCAGCCACACUGGAACUGAGACACGGUCCAGACUCCUACGGGAGGCAGCAGUGGGGAAUAUUGGACAAUGGGCGCAAGCCUGAUCCAGCCAUACCGCGUGGGUGAAGAAGGCCUUCGGGUUGUAAAGCCCUUUUGUUGGGAAAGAAAAGCAGCAGGUUAAUACCCCGCUGUUCUGACGGUACCCAAAGAAUAAGCACCGGCUAACUUCGUG
rnacentral:rRNA from 1 species